ACGAACGCUGGCGGCGUGCUUAACACCUGCAAGUCGAACGGAAAGGCCCUGCUUUUGUGGGGUGCUCGAGUGGCGAACGGGUGAGUAACACGUGAGUAACCUGCCCUUGACUUUGGGAUAACUUCAGGAAACUGGGGCUAAUACCGGAUAGGAGCUCCUGCUGCAUGGUGGGGGUUGGAAAGUUUCGGCGGUUGGGGAUGGACUCGCGGCUUAUCAGCUUGUUGGUGGGGUAGUGGCUUACCAAGGCUUUGACGGGUAGCCGGCCUGAGAGGGUGACCGGCCACAUUGGGACUGAGAUACGGCCCAGACUCCUACGGGAGGCAGCAGUGGGGAAUAUUGCACAAUGGGCGGAAGCCUGAUGCAGCAACGCCGCGUGCGGGAUGACGGCCUUCGGGUUGUAAACCGCUUUCGCCUGUGACGAAGCGUGAGUGACGGUAAUGGGUAAAGAAGCACCGGCCAACUACGUG
rnacentral:rRNA from 1 species